UAAUAUUAUUGUCUUGUGGUGCGCAAACACGUUUUUGCGUACGUUACGGCCGCCUAAUAGAAACUCUAUUUCAUUAAUUUUCAUUAUUUUUCUUAACUCACGUAUAAUAUAAAAUAUUGAGCUUUUAUUCAUGGAUUCCGGUGUCGACUCUGCAAGCAGUGACGAAACUCUUGAAAAAUCGUUACCGUUACGACGUCGAGGCGGCGGCUACCAAUAACAACGAU
rnacentral:misc_RNA from 1 species